rnacentral:rRNA from 1 species
AUAUUGGUCAAUGAGCGAAAGCCUGAUCCAGCCAUGCCGCGGGUGUGAAGAAGGACUUCGGAUGGUAAAGCACUUUAAGUUGGGAGGAAGGGCAGUAAGAUAAUACCUUGAUGCUUUGACGUUAACGACAGAACAAGCACCGGCUAACUGCGUGCCAGCACCCGCGGUAAUACGAAGGGUGGAAGCGUUAAUCGGAAUUACUGGGCGUAAAGCGCGCGUAGGUGGUUUGAUAAGUUGGAUGUGAAAGCCCCGGGCUCAACCUGGGAAUUGCAUCCAAAACUGUCUGACUAGAGUAUGGCAGAGGGUGGUGGAAUUUCCUGUGUAGCGGUGAAAUGCGUAGAUAUAGGAAGGAACACCAGUGGCGAAGGCGACCACCUGGGCUAAUACUGACACUGAGGUGCGAAAGCGUGGGGAGCAAACAGG